rnacentral:rRNA from 1 species
UGGGGAAUAUUGGACAAUGGGCGAAAGCCUGAUCCAGCAAUGCCGCGUGAGUGAUGAAGGCCUUAGGGUUGUAAAGCUCUUUUACCCGGGAUGAUAAUGACAGUACCGGGAGAAUAAGCCCCGGCUAACUCCGUGCCAGCAGCCGCGGUAAUACGGAGGGGGCUAGCGUUGUUCGGAAUUACUGGGCGUAAAGCGCACGUAGGCGGCCCGUCAAGUCAGAGGUGAAAGCCCGGAGCUCAACUCCGGAAUUGCCUUUGAAACUAGCAGGCUUGAACGUCGGAGAGGUGAGUGGAAUUCCGAGUGUAGAGGUGAAAUUCGUAGAUAUUCGGAAGAACACCAGUGGCGAAGGCGGCUCACUGGACGACUGUUGACGCUGAGGUGCGAAAGCGUGGGGAGCAAA